UUGCUUUGGCAGCACAUAUACUAAAAUUGGAAUGAUACACAAAAGAUUAGCAUGGCCCCUGCACAUGGAUGACACGCAAAUUCGUGAAGCGUUCCGUAUUUUG
rnacentral:snRNA from 1 species